AGAGUUUGAUCCUGGCUCAGAGCGAACGCUGGCGGCGUGGAUAAGGCAUGCAAGUCGAGCGAUCCCCACAAGGGAUAGCGGCAAACGGGUGAGUAACGCGUAGGAAACCUGCCCCGAUGCGGGGGACAACUCAGCGAAAGCUGGGCUAAUACCGCAUGUGCCCUGGGCUCCACAUGGAGCCUUUGGUAAAGAUGGCGCGACCGCAAGGUUGCUAUCACAUCGGGAGGGUCCUGCGUCCCAUCAGCUUGUUGGUAGGGUAACGGCCUACCAAGGCGUGUGACGGGUAGCUAGCUUCAGAGAGUGUUUAGCCACACUGGGACUGAGACACUGCCCAGACUCCUACGGGAGGCUGCAGUCGAGAAUCUUUGGCAAUGGGCGCAAGCCUGACCAUGCGACGCCGCGUGCGGGAUGAAGGCCUUCGGGUCGUAAACCGCUGUUGCGAGGAGCGAAGGCCCUGCCUGCGAAUAGCAGGCGGAGCUUGACGGUACCUCGCGAGGAAGCCACGGCAAACUCCGUGCCAGCAGCCGCGGUAAUACGGAGGUGGCGAGCGUUGCUCGGAUUUACUGGGUGUAAAGAGCUCGCAGGCGGUCUCGUAAGCCCCACCUGAAAGGCAGUGGCUCAACCACGGCAUGCGGUGGGGGACUGCAAGACUUGAGGACGGGAGAGGCGAAUGGAAUUCCCGGUGUAAGGGUGAAAUCUGUAGAUAUCGGGAGGAACACCAGUGGCGAANGCGAUUCGCUGGCCCGUUUCUGACGCUCAGGAGCGACAGCUAGGGGAGCA
rnacentral:rRNA from 1 species